rnacentral:rRNA from 1 species
GACGAACGCUGGCGGCGUGCUUAACACAUGCAAGUCGAACGGAAAGGCCCUGCUUUUGUGGGGUGCUCGAGUGGCGAACGGGUGAGUAACACGUGAGUAACCUGCCCUUGACUUUGGGAUAACUUCAGGAAACUGGGGCUAAUACCGGAUAGGAGCUCCUGCUGCAUGGUGGGGGUUGGAAAGUUUCGGCGGUUGGGGAUGGACUCGCGGCUUAUCAGCUUGUUGGUGGGGUAGUGGCUUACCAAGGCUUUGACGGGUAGCCGGCCUGAGAGGGUGACCGGCCACAUUGGGACUGAGAUACGGCCCAGACUCCUACGGGAGGCAGCAGUGGGGAAUAUUGCACAAUGGGCGGAAGCCUGAUGCAGCAACGCCGCGUGCGGGAUGACGGCCUUCGGGUUGUAAACCGCAUUCGCCUGUGACGAAGCGUGAGUGACGGUAAUGGGUAAAGAAGCACCGGCUAACUACGUG